ACAUCCUCCUAGGGGGCAGUGGCGACGACACCCUCUACGGAGAAGAAGGAGAUGACACCAUGAUGGGUGGGCUCGGCUCCGAUGCCUUCAUCCCAGGACCAGGGGCAGACUUAGUGGACGGCGGUGCAGGAAGAGACACAGUGUUUUACCAGGGCGACCACAACAGAGGCGAGGGGGUCUACGUCAACCUGCUUACUGGUGAGUGCCGGCAAGCUGACGCAGAGGGGGACGUGUUGAAAGACGUUGAGAACGUGGUUGGCACCAUCUACUCCGACAUACUGGUCUCAGGCUACGAGCCAGCUCUCCUCAAGGGAUCAGACGGCAAUGAUGUCCUCGUGUCUCAAGCAGGAGGGGACUACUUAAUUGGUGGAGACGGAAGUGACGUGUACAUGAUGGUUUUCCCCAGAGGCACCGUUGUCCUUGACAACUGCGCCAACGACAACGCCACGGAUGUCCUGUACCUCCGUUCCAUGUCUGCGGACUCUGUCCACUGCACACAGACAAACACCAGCAUGACUCUGUCAUUUAAGGACCAAGCCAAGGCCGUAGAGGUGGAACUGAAAGACUGGUUCAGCAGCAGUGACACAUGUAGGCAUCUGCAGCUUAUCCUGAGGGAAGGCCAAACUUCUGUAGAAAAGCUUCAGGAAAAAUGCAAAGCUAAUGGUGGGGAGCAAAAGUAAAGCUUGUGUUUGUAUGUUCUUGGUAUGCACAACUUCUGUAUUAAUUUGGCAUGCUUUUAAUGCUCUUUGCACAAAUCACAUUUUUUAUAUUUCAUUAUAAUUUUACUCAGACACGUGAAAUUGUCUUUGUGUGUUCUUGGUAUGCACAACUUCUGUAUUAUUGUUGCAUGCUUUUAAUAUUCUCUUUCUACAAAUCAUGUUUGUUUUAUUCCAUUAUUGUUUUACUCAGAGACGUGAAAUCGUUUUUGUAUGCAGGUAAUUGCCACGUUUUGCUUUGAAAUCCAACAUUAUAAUUGGGUGGAUGGAAGUAAUGAAAUUAUUUUGCUACUUUGGAUAUUGUAUAAUUGCAUAUCUGUAAUAUUUUCAAAUAAAAAAA
ensembl:lncRNA